rnacentral:rRNA from 1 species
UUUAAAUUGAGAGUUUGAUCCUGGCUCAGGACGAACGCUGGCGGCGUGCCUAACACAUGCAAGUCGAGCGAGGAACUUCGGUUCCUAGCG